rnacentral:rRNA from 1 species
ACGUAGGUGGCGAGCGUUAUCCGGAUUUACUGGGCGUAAAGGGUGUGCAGGCGGGCUGUUAAGUGGUGUAUGAAAUCGCCCGGCUCAACCGGGCGAGGUUAUGCCAGACUGGCAGUCUAGAGAGCGAGAGAGGGACGUGGAAUUCCGGGUGUAGUGGUGGAAUGCGUAGAGAUCCGGAAGAACACCGGUGGCGAAGGCGGCCUGCUGGGCAGUAGCUGACACUGAGGCGCGACAGCGUGGGGAGCAAACAGGA